rnacentral:rRNA from 1 species
GUUACUAGUAAUCGCAGAUCAGAAUGCUGCGGUGAAUGCGUUCCCGGGUCUUGUACACACCGCCCGUCACACCACGGGAGUUGGAGACGCCCGAAGCCGAUUAUCUAACCUUUUGGAAGAAGUCGGCGAAGGUGGAAUCAAUAACUGGGGUGAAGUCGUAACAAGGUAGCCGGAUCGGAAGGUGCGGCUGGAUCACCUCCUUUCUAAGGAGA